ensembl:lncRNA
GGGGCUCCCGGCUGCGGCCCGGCGGCGGCGCCGUCAGUGUCAGGAGCACGUGGCCGGGCCGGACCGCGCGCUCUAACCCGGGCGCGGCGGAGGCCCGGCGGCGAGCGGCGGGGCGUGGGCCUGCGGGUCCCUCUCGCCGGCCCUGGCAGGUACUCCUUUCGUCUCAUCGUUAGAAGCCCCUACUCCCAGAAAUCCGUAUGUCUACACUCAGGUCUCUACUGGUUAGGGAUUAAGAGUGAGUCAGCAGGAGUCAAACAGGUGGUUCCAGCAAGAUUUCCUCUUUCCCUCAGAAGCAUUUACUGUGUGCCUCUAAACCAAGCAUCGCGAGAGAAAAGGCCCCCAAGCCCAGACACGGUCUCGGCAGUGGAGGUCAUACUGUGCAGAAGACAGACGAGAUCCUUCUGCUGCUUUGGAGAGACUAGGUUGAUGGAGGCAGAACUGUUAGGGGGUCAUAGUGUUUAGAUCAGAGAUGCUGGUGAUGUUGGAUAAUAGUGAAAACGGGGCCAAAGUGGACGGACUGGAGCGAAAAACUGGAGAUGUGAUUUCAAGAAGUCAGGGAAACAGAGGAGUUGGAAGCGAUGCCCCGGUUGCUGGCUUGUGCCGUUGGGUGGAUACUGGUGCUCGUGCCUGGAAUGUGGAGCCUGUGGUGCUGACCUGGAGAAUAGUCACGAGGCAUCGAGACCAGUGAGCUCUGCUCUCCCUGAAGUCAAUAGUAUGCAGCAGCUGUCAAGUUCGUCUGCCCCGUCAUCCAUUUCUUCUUGGUGGAGCAUCUCUGGGGGCCAGGGUUCCGUGGAACACUCUGAUAAAUGCUGGACUAGCCAAGCUCAGAGGUCCCUUCCCCAUCAUGCUUAUUAUAACCAGAAAGUAAACUGCAUUGCCUGAUGUUUUAAAUAAACUCGUAAAUUC